AUUGAACGCUGGCGGAAUGCUUUACACAUGCAAGUCGAACGGUAGAGGGGGCAACCCCUCGAGAGUGGCGAACGGGUGAGUAAUAUAUCGGAACGUGCCCAGUCGUGGGGAUAACGUAGCGAAAGUUACGCUAAUACCGCAUACGAUCUAAGGAUGAAAGCGGGGGAUCGCAAGACCUCGCGCGAUUGGAGCGGCCGAUAUCAGAUUAGGUAGUUGGUGGGGUAAAGGCUCACCGAGCCAACGAUCUGUAGCUGGUCUGAGAGGACGACCAGCCACACUGGAACUGAGACACGGUCCAGACUCCUACGGGAGGCAGCAGUGGGGAAUUUUGGACAAUGGACGCAAGUCUGAUCCAGCCAUUCCGCGUGCAGGAUGAAGGCCCUCGGGUUGUAAACUGCUUUUGUACGGAACGAAAAGGUCUCUCUUAAUACGGGGGGCUCAUGACGGUACCGUAAGAAUAAGCACCGGCUAACUACGUGCCAGCCGCCGCAGUAA
rnacentral:rRNA from 1 species